CUACGUGCCAGCAGCCGCGGUAAUACGUAGGGUGCGAGCGUUAAUCGGAAUUACUGGGCGUAAAGCGAGCGCAGACGGUUACUUAAGCAGGAUGUGAAAUCCCCGGGCUCAACCUGGGAACUGCGUUCUGAACUGGGUGACUAGAGUGUGUCAGAGGGAGGUAGAAUUCCACGUGUAGCAGUGAAAUGCGUAGAGAUGUGGAGGAAUACCGAAGGCGAAGGCAGCCCCUUGGGAAUGUACUGACGCUCAUGUGCGAAAGCGUGGGGAGCAAACAGGAUUAGAUACCCUGGUAGUCCACGCUGUAAACGAUGUCGAUUUGGGGGUUGAACUUUAGGUUUGGCGCCCGUAGCUAACGUGAUAAAUCGACCGCCUGGGGAGUACGGCCGCAAGGUUAAAACUCAAAUGAAUUGACGGGGGCCCGCACAAGCGGUGGAGCAUGUGGUUUAAUUCGAUGCAACGCGAAGAACCUUACCUACUCUUGACAUCCAGAGAACAUUC
rnacentral:rRNA from 1 species